rnacentral:piRNA from 1 species
GCAAGAAGCCUCAGAAUUCAAGAUAAAUUC